rnacentral:rRNA from 1 species
GACGAACGCUGGCGGCGUGCCUAAUACAUGCAAGUAGAACGCUGAAGAGAGGAGCUUGCUCUUCUUGGAUGAGUUGCGAACGGGUGAGUAACGCGUAGGUAACCUGCCUUGUAGCGGGGGAUAACUAUUGGAAACGAUAGCUAAUACCGCAUAACAAUAGGUGACACAUGUCAUUUAUUUGAAAGGGGCAAUUGCUCCACUACAAGAUGGACCUGCGUUGUAUUAGCUAGUAGGUGAGGUAACGGCUCACCUAGGCGACGAUACAUAGCCGACCUGAGAGGGUGAUCCGCCACACUGGGACUGAGACACGGCCCAGACUCCUACGGGAGGCAGCAGUAGGGAAUCUUCGGCAAUGGGGGCAACCCUGACCGAGCAACGCCGCGUGAGUGAAGAAGGUUUUCGGAUCGUAAAGCUCUGUUGUAAGUCAAGAACGAGUGUGAGAGUGGAAAGUUCACACUGUGACGGUAGCUUACCAGAAAGGGACGGCUAACUACGUG